AUAGGCCCAAUCAGCAAUACAUGUGAUGGCAUCUAUUUUUUGUGAUAUUUCACAAUCUAUAGGUAAUAAAAAAACUUUCAAAACAAAAAUUGUUUGCUUUUCAAAAUUGACCCUUAUGCUCCUAUUUCUGAUGAGUUCACAAAGUUUUUAUCGUGUGCAUUUAGUUCUUCGGAUGUACUUUGAUAAUCAAAAUUUUUCGCUUUACUUCCUAUCUCGUGUUUCUAAGAAGGAAGGACGGUACGGAUGGUAAGAAACACCUUGUAAAUAUGUAUGAUUUUGUUUGCUACUCAAAUUAUUUGUAAACACAGAAAUUUAUGAAACAAGAAUUACCUGCACCUAAUUAUGUAUUUAUAGUAUAAAUUAUUAAUCAAAUUUUUUUUUUUAAAUAGGUCUAAGGAAUGCCCAAGAAAUCCGU
rnacentral:lncRNA from 1 species